rnacentral:rRNA from 1 species
CUACGUGCCAGCAGCCGCGGUAAUACGGAAGGUCCAGGCGUUAUCCGGAUUUAUUGGGUUUAAAGGGAGUGUAGGCGGUCUGUUAAGCGUGUUGUGAAAUUUAGGUGCUCAACAUCUACCUUGCAGCGCGAACUGGCGGACUUGAGUGCACGCAACGUAUGCGGAAUUCAUAGUGUAGCGGUGAAAUGCUUAGAUAUCAUGACGAACUCCGAUUGCGAAGGCAGCGUACGGGAGUGUUACUGACGCUUAAGCUCGAAGGUGCGGGUAUCGAACAGGGAUUAGCAUACCCUGGUAGUCCGCACGGUAAAUCGAUGGAUGCCCGUUGUUAGUUCACUUAAGAAUUAGCGACCAAGCGAAAGCAUUAAGCAUCCCACCUGGGGAGUACGCCGGCAACGGUGAAACUCAAAGGAAUUGACGGGGGCCCGCACAAGCGGAGGAACAUGUGGUUUAAUUCGAUGAUACGCGAGGAACCUUACCCGGGCUUGAAUUGCAGACGAACGAUUCAGAGAKAUGAGG